CAACACCAUGAAAGGAGAGAAGGUUAGCACUCCCCUUGACAAGGAUGAAAGAGGAACUACUGACGUGCAGUACACACCAACAUACACCAUGGGCUAUUUUAA